AUUGCCAAAUAAGUUUAAUGGCGUCAGAGCCUUGGCGUGAAGUCAGCUGAGAGCUGCUGCCAUAAGGGAGAUUUAUAAACCCCUCCAUGACCAUGUCUACCAUCUACAGGUAGGAAGGAAGCCUACAAUACUUUAGUCUCCAUACACACUAAGAUUGUAAAGUGUAAUAUUUGACUUACACUAUCUCUUUAUGAAUCCUAUCUGGCUCCAGAGUUUAAGCAGAUGAUGGAUUAUUGUCGAAGUGAUGAGACCAGUAAAGAGGAACUGUUGAGUUUAAUGCAGACCGAAGCAGAUACGUUUUCCAUAAAGAGUUCCUAUUUGAAAUAGGUGGUGCAUGUCAUUGUUUUAAAUCUUUUGAAGCCCCAAGGAUCUUGCGCUUGCCUGUGUUUAAAAAAAAAUAUGUAAAGCUUCUGUGAUGAGCUGCAACACUUUGAACAGUCUACAGACCCAACAGAAUGAACUACAGGAUCCUCCUGAACGAGCUAGGAUUUGACAAUGGCUUUUACCACCCCUCUCCGUGUGCAGUAUCUGUAGCCUCUCACAUCUCUGCUCUACCCUAACUGUUGCGGACACUGCCUAGACAGCCACACGGCCUUCAUGGUGAAAUAUGACAUUCAUGAAGACCUGGACCUCGUCUACCAUUACGACAACGCAGAGGUCACUCAAUGUGUCUCUGGGGAAAAAGUUCACUGAAGGGAACCUCUACUUUGGUGACAUGAAACAGGUGCCUCUGUGUGAGAGUGUCUACAGAGGUAGAGCAGGGAAUGACAGAGGGUCUCUUACACAGAGGACAACACAUGCACGGUGCCCUGCCCAUCUCCUCUGGCCAGUGCUGGAACCUCAUUGUCUGGAUGAGGGCCUCACAGGAGAGGAAAAAACUGUGCCCCAUGUGCAAAAAGUUGCCUACCUUGGUCGAGGGACAGGGCUUCACAGAUGGCUUCACCAGUGACUCAGGGAUGUCUCUUCUAUAGAAUGUAUCAUGCGUUCCGCGUUAACUUAAUGCUGCUGGUCCAUAUGUAUUUGUGUAUGUUAGUAUGAUUUGUGUCUGGAUGUCUGCUUAUCGUGGACAUUAUCGCAUGUGCCAAAAAAGAGUUAUAGAGAGGAAACGUGGUAGACAUUGGUAACAUUAUUUCUACAUAACACUGCACUACAUACUUCAUUACGCAGUGUCACAUUCCAAUAUUUUCUAAAUUAUCAUGUCCAUAAAAAAUAUGUGUAGCCUGUGAUUUGAAUGGUCUUUUGUCCAGGUAGGAAUAUUACAUAUCCAAAAGUCAAUAGACACUAGUGAAAACCUGAGCGUUCACCUUUGUACCUUACUUUUAGUGGGCUUGCUUCUUGUUCACAGAAAUUGGGAAAUAUUUGAAAUGCUGUAAACUUUAUACAUAAUGUAAGUAAUAUAAAUAAAUUCAUAGCUGUAGUUAUCUUAGUACGUCAGUAAUAUAUUUUUAGAAAACAAUAAUGCACAGGCAUUUCUCUGUAUUGGUAAAAUCAAUCAUAUUGAAAGGAUCAACAACACAUUUACACACCAAAUAUCUGAAGAAUACAGUUCGUACAUAGUAUAAAUCAUAUUUAAUUUAAUAAACCAUAAUUGAUAAUCAA